AUUGAACGCUGGCGGCAGGCCUAACCCAUGCAAGUCGAGCGAGCGGCGGACGGGUGAGUAAUGUAUGGGGACUGCCCGAUAGAAGGGGAUAACUACUGGAAACGGUAGCUAAUACCGCAUACUAUCGGAUAACCCAUAUGGGAGUAGCUAGUUGGUGAGGUAAUGGCUCACCAAGGCGACGAUCCCUAGCAGGGCUGAGAGGAUGCGCAGCCACACUGUGACUGAGACACGGCCCAGACUCCGACGGAGGCAGUAGUGGGGAAUAUUGCAUAAUGGGCGCAAGCCUGAUGCAGCCAUGCCGCGUGUAUGAAGAAGGCUCUAGGGUUGUAAAGUACUUUCAGUCGGGAGGCGUUACCCGCAGAAGAAGCACCGGCUAACUCCGUGCCAGCAGCCGCGGUAAUUC
rnacentral:rRNA from 1 species